UGAGGAAUAUUGGUCAAUGGACGAGAGUCUGAACCAGCCAAAUCGCGUGAAGGAAGACUGCCCUACGGGUUGUAAACUUCUUUUGUACAGGAAUAAAAGACAUUACGUGUAGUGUAUUGCAUGUACUGUACGAAUAAGCAUCGGCUAACUCCGUGCCAGCAGCCGCGGUAAUA
rnacentral:rRNA from 1 species